UGGGGCGGGGGACCAAUCAGCUUUUCAAUGUCUUCAUACGACAAAGUUUCUCUUUCCAUUAGUUCCUUGGCAAUCUACAACAAAUGAGAGACAUACUACACAAAAUUCUAUAGCAAACAGGUCUUCCGUACAUGUAGGUCUUCAAUUAGGCAAACCAUUACAAGGGGAUAAUAACCAAAUGCUGAGAGAAGAUUAUGGCCAACAUAAAGAUCUGCAUCUCAUCUUAAUUCAAAUGACUUCAGGUCUUGUGCAAAUAAUCAGAAAAAGUGAAAGAAACAAAA